GCCGGCGAUGGUCCGGACCGGGCCCCCAGGCCAUCAGGCAGCGGGGAGCCGGGGCGAGGAGCCCGCGGUUCAGUUUCCGCAUCAACAAAAUUGAAGCUGCUCAGGAGGAGCCGCCUCUGUUUGGUCUCCAUAAACUGCUGGAGUUCAGCCUCUAUGAACAGUUCUGCAGUGGACUCGAAUGAAGCUGCAAAAUGAGAGAAAGCAGCAGAGCUGGGAACAGCAGACAGGUGUCCUGAGUCAUCUCCAGGCAGACACACCAAUACAGCAGCAGCACACAGGUGAUGGAGAUCUCAGUUGAAGAUGCAGCCAGCUCAAUCUGUGAGAGGUCCUGCACAUGCCUCUGACAUUCCUGCUGGUUGGGAUGUUUGCCUCUGCUGGGAGACCCCUCCAUCCUCUUCCUGGUCAGGAAAGGGACACAGCUGGGCCCUGGAAGACCAACUGGGUGGAGAGUAAAGGCAGGACUGGUGCUGAGAGUGGAGUUCUUCUAUGUUUGGGAGAAAAUGUGGAUGAACAUCCCUUGCCUCUUGCUGAUGGAGCUCUGUGGUGUCCCUGCUUGCCCUUGGACACCAGAUGGACUUCCCAGUGAAAGAUGAGCCCGGCUGCAUUCAGACUGAGCCAUCCUUGCCAGCCAAAGCAGAUUCUUCAUGCCUGCUUCCAAGCAGCACGAGCUUAAACAACUGGUGUCAGAGUGGGGUGUCUCUACAGUCCUGGCCACGAAGAGAGGAGAUGAAACGUUCUCCUGCUUGGAGCACAGGAAAGAGGCUGGAGCUGGGCUGCCAUCUUCACAACUGAAAAACUACAGUGAAAUCGGAGUUCUUUGUUCAUGUUUCAUUGCCUGCUUUGAGGAAAACAGUGAUCAGGAGAUGAGACAUGAGCCUCGGGGGAAGCAAUACCGUGCAGUCAGGAAGUUGCUUGUUCCAUGAUUAGCAUCGCUGCAGCUCCCGAGGGAAGGGAUGGCACUGUCUGGGCAGACUUGGAACCUGCUGAGAGCACUUGCACCUGGUACUCCACCCAGGAUCCAGUCUGCAAGUGGAAAAGUUGCCACUGAUGACUUGGAAUUUAGGAGCCAAGAGCUGCUGUGCCAUGUGGGACCGUGUCGAGUGAGGGCGGUGAGGAGUGGAGUUCACCCAGCAGCUGUGGCACGAGUGCCCAGCUUGGCUUGGCAGGAAGGUGAACAGGGAGCCUGAAGUGCUCUGAUGGACCUGUUCCACCUGGUGGGAGGCAGAGAAUCCAGCGGGAACACGUGCUGCAGCCUCGUGCACCUCACUUGGGUGGGUGAGAUGGAGCAGGGGCAGCUCCCGAGAGCCUGCGAGUCCCCACGAGGCACAAACCACUCUGAAGCACCAGCCUUUGAAGCCUGGUUGGGGCAGUGUCCAGACCAAGCUGCCCCUCUGUGUGACCAGGAGUCAGUACCUGUCCUUGCUGAGCCCUUCCACAGAGCCUCUGCAGCAAAGUGGGCACAAAGAGUGGAGGACAGUGAAGGUCAGGCUUUUGCUCAUCGGUGUUUUCUCUGUGUAACAGCCUUGGGGGUUACUUUGGAAAACAAAGCCUGAAGCUUUUGGGACAGCUCGUUCAUGAUGGGCCCGUGCUGGUGUGACUCUCAUGGGAGAUCUGAGGGAGCUGGGGGAGAGCACUUAAACAAAGCAUGAGCAGGAGAAGGUGCAGUGACCAAUUUGCUCUCGUGCAUCCUGCAGGAUCCUUCCUGGCUCUCCCUCACCUCUCCUGCCCUGUGCCCUGUGCUGUGUUACCCCCUUCCCGGGAAUCGCCGCUCUCCGGCAUCGCCGCCACAUCCCACGGCACGGGUGGGAACACAGAGGCUCUGCUCCCAAACAGCGGCUCACCUGCGCCGUGUCAGGCAAGAGCAAACCUGUCACCCACCUCGGGCACCCGGGCGCGUCUCCAGUGAUUUCCAGGGCGAGGCGAGCAGGAGAACCCUCCCACCGCGCUGCCCGGGGCGCUGCCUCCCUGUCCGCGGGCUCAGCUCCAGCCCUUGUUUUGCAGCGCGCACGUGGAAUUUUAUCACCUUCAACAAUGGAAUCUGUCACCUUCAAGCUGCCUUAGUGUAAUCUGGGGAUUUGUGCCCCGGCCCUGUAACAGGGGCUGGGCUCCUGCCACAGAGCACCGCGUCCCUCCCUGUGCCAUUGCUAACACCCGUGGGCCGGCGGCGGCAACUUCAGGGACAUAUUUGGGCUUGUUUCCUCACCGGGAUCAGAUCCUUAAUUGAUCUGUCUUCUUUCCUUUCUCUCUCUUUGCCUCCUUCUGUCUCACGUGCAUCUCAAUCCCCGUCUUCUGAUCUGCUUCACCACCCCCUCCGGCUCGGAGAACAAAUCCCAUCAGACCUGCGGUACAGCCAGGAUGCAGGAGGGGGGAUCUGGCAUUUUAAAGAAGCAUAAAUACGUGUUUUAAACGAUGGCACCUUCAUGUUGCAUCAGGUACCCCCUCUGAUGAAGGGCUUGUCAACAUAAGAAAUCCCAGAGGAAAAGUGCCCACAAUGAGGAAUUCACAGAAAAUACACCAGAGCACCUGUACUGAGAGGGAGAAGGUGGAGGAGCCUGUGUGCAUACCCUGCUUCCCCUGCUGUUACACAGAUUCUAAACACAGGUCUGAGCACAAGCUCGAUGGCAACUCUCAGCUCCGUCUGCCGGGGCUGCAGCUCCAGCCCUCCUCACCAUCCUCCACCUUCUCCUCCAAAGUAACAAAGCCAUUGGAUUUCCUCCCACCCCUUCCCCGCGCUCCCCCUCCCCCUCGCUGGCACCGGGGUUAUUUAUACAGAAUGUGGAAACAAUUUGCAGGAAAGUGAACAAUGUAAGCGGGAGUGAGGGAAGGGAGACAAGUUUGUUGUGCACACUGAGAGCCCCAGCGGUGAAACGCUGCUUUUUGGGGGGCUGAGAGAACAGACUGUUUCCCUUUCUUCCUUCUCCUCUCUUUCACCGUCUCCCUCAGCUCUUUCCAUCUUGCCAGAGUCGGGUCCAAACCAGAGCAACCAGAUCUGAGUGCAUGUUUUGGAGGAGGUUCAGGUUGGAUCCCUCCCUGCAUCCCAGCCCCGUGAGGCGGUGUCUGUGUACUUAAUCCUCUCCGAGGUUCUGCUCUCGGAUCGUUGCUGCUCCUGGAUUAGCAUUAAUGAGGAGCAUGUGUGCUCAGAGGUCCUGCUCCAGGCCCCCAGAGCUGCAGCACUGGGUUUAGACACAGUUACUCCCAGGAACAGUUCAGCUGAAACAGAACCAUUCCUGGGAGUGAACGAGGCAGGAACUUUUUGCAAAGUCUAAUUUUGGUCUUUUUCCCCUCACCCACUGAGCAUUACAUUUUCAGGACAUCCCAGCACCUUGCUGGCUCCAGUGUGAGUGUCUGGGAAUCAGGGAGUUUACCUGAGUUCUGCUGGGGCUGAGGAAGCUGAACCAGCACUGACUCGGCACUCAGAGCAGAUCUGGGAUCUUCAGCUGGCACUCUGCACCAUGAAGUCCUCAAAAAGAGGGUCUUUAGAUGAGAACAGAUUUGUAUUCCUCUCUUCCUGCUGCUCACUUACCACCUGAAAUCCUCAGUUGCUCCUUGCAGUUCCCACCACAACGGCGAGCGAUAUCCCGAGCGGAGCGUUGGAGCUCCAGGGAGACUCUGCAGAUCCCGUGGAGUGCAGGAGUCACGGAGAACAGAGACCGAUGAAAGAUGGCUCCAGGGUGGGAUUUUGGAGAGUGUCUACAUGGUGUUGUUUUUUUUCACUGCUCCAUUUCUAAAGAUAACUGCUGUGUGUUUGGAGAAGCUGCUCUGUCUUUCCAACCCCUCGACAGCACGGGCUGCUGAACGAGAACAUAGCGAAGGAAAGCAGCUGAAGAAAGAAAAGCUGUUCCUGUGGUAGGCUUCAGAAAAAUUGCUGCUUGUCUUCCCUCCCCCACAGCGCUGAAUCCCAGCACCCCAGACUGUCGUGACUGCCGGGGAUUGGUGACAUCUCGAGUGACACGUGUUGGAGCAUCAGAACAGAGUGGGAGCAGCACAGCUUGGCUCUGGGAGCCAAAAAUAGGCAGUGCUUCCCAGAAUGUCCUGGCAGCCUGAGAAGUGGUGGACACCGCAAUGACACCCCAGAGGAGCAGCUGAGUGCUACUGAUUGCUGGGGUCCUCAAAUGCAGCUGACCAGCCCCUUGACCAGUUGGUGGGUACCAGAGCUGGAGAGGGAUGACUGUGUUCCAUAGCCCUUGGGAAGGGUGCCUUGGCCUCCUGUCAGUGAGUGCAGGGUGUUUGGGCUGUGUGUGUGUGUGGGAAUGGGGAGCAACUGCCACGUGCCAAGAACGAGGGGAGUGAAGGAUUCCCACCAUAUGAUCCAAAAUGAACUUUUGAUCCAUCAGCUCAUCUGAUCCACCUGAUCCAUCAGCUGGGCCUUUCAGGUGACACACAGAAAAGGGCUGUGCUGCUGCUGGUCCUGAGGUUUGUCUGUAAGGUGUGCUGGGCUCUGCAUUUUCCAGGCAUCCUCUGCUGCUGGUCUAAGGUUGUUUCUUUGGUUUCCCAGACCCAGAGGCAAAUGACUGUUUCUUUGUGCUAAGCAUCAAUUCUCUUCUUUUUUUCUUAUCCUUUCUCCUCUCCAUGGUUUUCCUCUCCAUUUUGAAUUCUCUCAGGCUGCUGCAGUCUCACUUCCCUGAGACUUCCCUCCUGGCACAGACACCAGGAGAAAAUGUGAUGGUGUUUACAGAGCACUGGGACUUAGGAGAUGUGAAAGCUGGACCUGCUGCUCUACCUCUGGUUACUCACAACACCUUUCUGUGGUUCUGCUUUCCUGUCAGGAUAACCUGGACUAAAACCUCUUUGGGGAAAGGAUUUGCUUUCCCUGUGUGAUCCUAUGGUGUCUAACACAACAGGACCCAACCUCAGGAUAAAUUGCAGCUGGUUGCUGGUAAUCCUUGUGGCAUAUCAGAUAGCAGCGUAACUCGGCAAGGGUAAGGUGGAGAAACCCAAACAUCCUUCUGAGGAGGUAAUUAUUCCAUUGUGAAAAUGCUCCGGGAUAUUUUUAGUGGCCAAACCCCCUGUUUCCUGACAGAAACAUAAAAUAAUGAAGCAUGUUUCACAAGGAGAAACGCUUCAGACACCUGUACUAGCCGGUGCUUUGCAGUCACGUCAGCGUUUAAUUCGCCGUGCGCAUCCCCGUGUCCCUGCGCACGGCCAGACCCACACCUGGCUUUGGGGCACUGUGGGCUGUGCCAGCACCGCCUUGCAGAAAACCCUCUCCACCAACAAAUCUGCAAAUCCCGCUGGAUCAGGGGUAAUUUCACGGGAAUACAGAGCUGCCUGCAACAAGAGGGACACCCUCGCCGCACGCACCGAGGUUAUCGAGGGAAACUUUCCUUAGCAGGAGGCGUACACCCGGUGUAAAAGCCUGGAUUUUUUGGGGAACAAAUGAUUUAAAACUAGUUUUAGAACAUUUUGCAACACGUUUUUGUGGGGAUGUACCCUCGUUUCAUGUCCCGCAGCGCCCCAGGGGGCCGGUUAUCUCCGGGUUACCUCGAGCACUGGUCCUACAUAAUUUAUGUCCUGAAAGAGACGAUUCAAUUAGUCAAUAAUAAAAUGAGCAAGGACAGCGUGUGCGUUGUAAAAAUAUAAUUUAGUGGGCAACAAGCUGAGAUGGAAAAAUAUAAGGGUACACUCCAUAUGAUUAAUGAAGGAGGAAUGUAUAUUUAUAGCUCUUAUUGUGUCCUUUGUAAGCAGAAGGAUCCGGCAGUAGGACUGGAACCGGCUGGUAACUAUGUGGCAUUCCAGUGAUUGGGAUUUGAAUGGCAAAUGCUGUAUAAAACUAAUUACCCCCAGGAGGAUGAAAAUACAUUUCAUUUGCCUUUUCGGA